rnacentral:misc_RNA from 1 species
UGGUUAUGGCAUCGAUGAAGAACGCAGCGAAAUGCGAUAAGUAAUGUGAAUUGCAGAAUUCAGUGAAUCAUCGAAUCUUUGAACGCACAUUGCGCCCUCCGGUAUUCCGGAGGGCAUGCCUGUCCGAGCGUCACUAAAAGAAGUCUCAAGCCCUGCUUGUCGUUGAGCCUCGCCCCUGCUGCGGGCGGGCUCUAAACACUUCGGCGGUGGCCCCGGGCCUCAAGCGGUAGUAGAAACACAUUCCCGCUUACGGAGGACCGGGCGCGACUCGCUCCCAGAACCAAAACACAUCAAGUAUUGACCUCGGAUCAGGUAGGGAUACCCGCUGA